rnacentral:lncRNA from 1 species
UGGUGGUGGAGGCUGUUACAUGUGCUUCACUAGUUAUAUAUACGUAGAGAAGAUAGGGUGCAGUGGUAAACCCUUCUUUCCUUAAUACGCAUGCAAUGUGUGUGUGUGUGUGUGUGUGUUUUUAAAGUUUGUAACGCCAUCACUAAAUCUUAUCUAAACCUCAUCACAUUAAGAUACAUUUCCUUCUUAACAACAAUUAAAAAAAAAAAAGUUGACUAUUAAGAUAUCUUUCCUUCUUAAAAUAAGCAAUAAAAAGUUGAAUCUUUACACUUUUGUUUCACCAAUAAUCAUUUUUCUCUUUUUUU